AUUGAACGCUGGCGGCAGGCCUAACACAUGCAAGUCGAGCGGAGCGGCGGACGGGUGAGUAAUGCCUAGGAAUCUGCCUGGUAGUGGGGGAUAACGUCCGGAAACGGGCGCUAAUACCGCAUACUAUCAGAUGAGCCUAGGUCGGAUUAACUAGUUGGUGGGGUAAAGGCCUACCAAGGCGACGAUCCGUAAAUGGUCGGAGAGGAUGAUCCUUCAAACUGGAACUGAAAGACGGUCCAGAAUCAUACGGGAGGCAGCAGAGGGGAAUAUCGGACAAUGGGCGAAAGCCUGAUCCAGCCAUGCCGCGUGUGUGAAGAAGGUCUUCGGAUUGUAAAGAACUUUAAGUGGGGAGGCGUUACAAACAGAAGAAGCACCGGCUAACUUCGUGCCAGCAGCCGCGGUAACUC
rnacentral:rRNA from 1 species